rnacentral:snRNA from 1 species
ACCGGUUCCGGAGGGACC